rnacentral:rRNA from 1 species
UACAGAGGGGGCAAGCGUUAUUCGGAAUUAUUGGGAGUAAAGGGCGCGUAGGCGGCUUGGCAAGUGGAAGGUGAAAUCCCUCGGCUUAACCGAGGAACUGCCCUCCAAACUGCUUCGCUUGAGACCGGGAGAGGUGAGUGGAAUUCCCAGUGUAGCGGUGAAAUGCGUAGAUAUUGGGAGGAACACCAGUGGCGAAGGCGGCUCACUGGACCGGUACUGACGCUGAUGCGCGAAAGCGUGGGGAGCAAACGGG